CGUACCUUUUGCAUCAUGAUUUAGCCAGAAUCCUUUAAGCAAAGAGAACUUUAGUUUAAAACCCCGAAACUGAGUGAGCUACUCCAAGACAGCCUAAAAAUAGGGCGAACCCGUCUCUGUGGCAAAAGAGUGGGACGAGCUUCGAGUAGAGGUGACAGACCUAUCGAACUCAGUUAUAGCUGGUUGCCUGUGAAUUGGAUAGAAGUUCAGCCUCUCGGCUUCUCCCUUCACCCCAACAUGGUUUUUAACCAUACCCAAUGAUACAAGAGAAACCGCGGGAGUUAGUCAAAGGAGGAACAGCUCCUUUGAACAAAGACACAACUUUACCAGGAGGGUAAAGAUCAUAAUCUUCAAGGCAAAAUGUUUUAGUGGGCCUAAAAGCAGCCAUCCUAAUAGAAAGCGUUAAAGCUCAAACAUAUCUCACCCCCUCAUAUCCUGAUAACUCAAUCUAAACCCCCUAAUUCUACCAGGCCGCCCCAUGCAUUACAUGGGGGCGACUAUGCUAAUAUGAGUAAUAAGAGGGCCUAAAAAGCUCUCUCCCUGCACACG
rnacentral:rRNA from 1 species